UACGGAGGGUGCAAGCGUUAUCCGGAUUUACUGGUUAAAGGGUGCGCAGGCGGAUAUGUAAGUCAGUGGUGAAAUCUCCGGGCUUAACCCGGAACUGCCGUUGAUACUAUAUAUCUUGAAUGCUGUGGAGGUAAGCAGAAUAUGUCAUGUAGCGGUGAAAUGCUUAGAGAUGACAUAGAAUACCUAUGCGAAGGCAGCUUACUACGCAGAUAUUGACGCUCAUGCACGAAAGCGUGGGGAUCAAACAGGAAUUAGAUACCCGUGG
rnacentral:rRNA from 1 species